rnacentral:snRNA from 15 species
AUACCUUCUCGGCCUUUUGGCUAUGAUCAAGUGUAGUAUCUGUUCUUAUCAGUGUGACAACUGAUAUGGAUCCUACGGGAUCCAAACUCUAGUCACAGAAAUUUUUAUACGGGAGAUAUAGAUCACUGAGCUUGCUCAUAUCAAUGUCGAAAUGUCGCCUCGUCCUUACACUACCGAUGAGAGUGGCAUGCCCUAC